rnacentral:rRNA from 1 species
GUCUUUUUGAUUUUAAUUUAAAGUUUAACCUGCCCAUUGAAAAUUUUUAAAAGGCUGCGGUAUUUUGACUGUACAAAGGUAGCAUAAUCAUUAGUUUUUUAAUUGAAAACUUGUAUGAAUGGUUGAAUGAAAAAUUAACUUUUUUAAAAAAAUAAUUGAAUUUUACUUUUUAAUUAAAAGGUUAAAAUAAAUUUAAAAGACGAGAAGACCCUAUAGAGUUUUAUAAUUUUUAUUUAAUAUUUAAAAAGAUUAAUUAAAAUUUUAUAAAAGAAAAUAUUUUGUUGGGGUGAUAAUAAAAUUUAAAUAACUUUUAUUUUUUUUUUACAUUAAUAUAUGAAUUUAUGAUCCAUUAUUGAUGAUUAUAAAUUUAAAUUACCUUAGGGAUAACAGCGUAAUUUUUUUUUAAAGUUCAUAUUAAUAAAAAAUUUUGCGACCUCGAUGUUGGAUUAAGAUUUAAUUUUAGGUGCAGCAGUUUAAAUUUUAAGUCUGUUCG